rnacentral:rRNA from 1 species
AUUGAACGCUGGCGGCAUGCCUCACACAUGCAAGUCGAACGGCAGCACGGGUGCUUGCACCUGGUGGCGAGUGGCGAACGGGUGAGUAAUACAUCGGAACGUACCUUAUCGUGGGGGAUAACGCAGCGAAAGCUGUGCUAAUACCGCAUACGCCCUGAGGGGGAAAGCGGGGGAUCGAAAGACCUCGCGCGAUUAGAGCGGCCGAUGCCUGAUUAGCUUUUUGGUGGGGUAAAAGCCCACCAAGGCGACGAUCAGUAGCUGGUCUGAGAGGACGAUCAGCCACACUGGGACUGAGACACGGCCCAGACUCCUACGGGAGGUAGCAGUGGGGAAUUUUGGACAAUGGGGGCAACCCUGAUCCAGCAAUGCCGCGUGAGUGAAGAAGGCCUUCGGGUUGUAAAGCUCUUUUGUCAGGGAAGAAACACCGGCUCUAACACAGUCCGGGAAUGACGGUACCUGAAGAAUAAGCACCGGCUAACUACGUGCCAGCAGCCGCCGUAA